UACGGAGGGUGCGAGCGUUGUCCGGAAUCAUUGGGCGUAAAGGGCGCGUAGGUGGCGGGACAAGCGUGCGGUGAAAGCCUGGGGCUCAACCCCGGGUCGGCCGUGCGAACUGUUUUGCUUGAGCACUGUAGAGGCAGGCGGAAUUCCGGGUGUAGCGGUGGAAUGCGUAGAGAUCCGGAAGAACACCGGUGGCGAAGGCGGCCUGCUGGGCUGAGAUUGACGCUCAGGCACGAAAGCGUGGGGAGCAAACAGG
rnacentral:rRNA from 1 species